AAUCCGAUAUUAUUAUGGCUAAAGAAAUUGGACACUUCAAGUUCCUACGAAGUUCGUUCUGUAAAUGGAGUGGUUGGUGUAUUGCGUAGUUUCAGCGAUUGAAUUUCACUCAGAACUCAUCAAUUCACUCAUCCCACCACAUUAUGAUGUUGCUCAUGUUUUGGGCUCAGUCCGAUAUCGAUUGGCCAAAGAAAUUGGACACUUCAAGUUUGUACGAAGUUCAUUCCGUAAAUGGAGUGGUCUGUGUAUUGCAUAGUUUUAGCGAGUGGGUUUCACUCAGUACUCAAC
rnacentral:lncRNA from 1 species